rnacentral:rRNA from 1 species
GAUGAACGCUGGCGGCGUGCUUAACACAUGCAAGUCGAACGAUGAAGCCCAGCUUGCUGGGUGGAUUAGUGGCGAACGGGUGAGUAACACGUGAGUAACCUGCCCUUAACUCUGGGAUAAGCCUGGGAAACUGGGUCUAAUACCGGAUAGGAGCGUCCACCGCAUGGUGGGUGUUGGAAAGAUUUAUCGGUUUUGGAUGGACUCGCGGCCUAUCAGCUUGUUGGUGAGGUAAUGGCUCACCAAGGCGACGACGGGUAGCCGGCCUGAGAGGGUGACCGGCCCCCCUGGGCCUGCGACACGGCCCAGACUCCUACGGGAGGCAGCAGUGGGGAAUAUUGCACAAUGGGCGCAAGCCUGAUGCAGCGACGCCGCGUGAGUGAUGACGGCCUUCGGGUUGUAAACCUCUUUCAGUAGGGAAGAAGCGAAAGUGACGGUACCUGCAGAAGAAGCACCGGCUAACUACGUG